UAAUACGUAGGGUGCAAGCGUUAUCCGGAAUUAUUGGGCGUAAAGAGCUCGUAGGCGGUUUGUCGCGUCUGCUGUGAAAACCCGAGGCUCAACCUCGGGCCUGCAGUGGGUACGGGCAGACUAGAGUGCGGUAGGGGAGAUUGGAAUUCCUGGUGUAGCGGUGGAAUGCGCAGAUAUCAGGAGGAACACCGAUGGCGAAGGCAGAUCUCUGGGCCGUAACUGACGCUGAGGAGCGAAAGCGUGGGGAGCGAACAGGAUUAGAUACCCUGGUAGUCCACGCCGUAAACGUUGGGCGCUAGAUGUGGGGACCAUUCCACGGUUUCCGUGUCGCAGCUAACGCAUUAAGCGCCCCGCCUGGGGAGUACGGCCGCAAGGCUA
rnacentral:rRNA from 1 species